GAUGAAGAACGUAGCGAAAUGCGAUACGUAAUGUGAAUUGCAAAUUCAGUGAAUCAUCGAGUCUUUGAACGCACAUUGCGCCCCCUGGUAUUCCGGGGGGCAUGCCUGUCCGAGCGUCAUUGCUGCCCUCAAGCACGGCUUGUGUGUUGGGCCCCGUCCUCCGAUCCCGGGGGACGGGCCCGAAAGGCAGCGGCGGCACCGCGUCCGGUCCUCGAGCGUAUGGGGCUUUGUCACCCGCUCUGUAGGCCCGGCCGGCGCUUGCCGAUCAACCCAAAUUUUUUAUCCAGGUUGACCUCGGAUCGGGUAGGGAUACCCGCUGAACUUAAGCAUAUCAAUAAGCGGAGGA
rnacentral:misc_RNA from 1 species